UUGAAACACCAGUUCCCAUAUGAUCACUGAAGUUAAGCAAUGUUGAGCUUGAUCAGUACCUAGAUGGGUGACCACUUGGAAAUAUCAGAGGCUGUUA